AUACGUCCCAGCCGGCACAUGACCGACCUUCAACGUUGAAAUAUGGUUGAAAUAAGGUCAGUUGUGGUUUCAACGUUGAAACAACGUUGAUUCAACGUUUAAAGCUGAAUGGUUGAAAAACAUCCAGCACAUGACCAACUUUCAAUGUUGAAAUAUGGUUGAAAUAAGGUCAGUUGUGGUUUCAACGUUGAAACAACGUUGAUUCAACGUUUAAAGAUGAACUGUUGAAAAACUUCCAGCACAUGACCAACUUUCAACAUUGAAAUAUGGUUGAAAUAAGGUCAGUUGUUUUAAUGAAACAAUGUUAAAAAUGUUUAAUGCUAAAUGGUAGAAAAAGGUUAACAAGCUUUUAAAUUAUUUAUAUUAAAUUAUUUAAAUUAAUUAUUAUUUUAAUAGCAUUUAAAAAUAUUUUAGUCAUGAUACCUAUUCUAAAAUCUAAAGGUAUAUGUUAAAUAUUAUCAUCAUUAACAACAAUAAAACUAUACAUUUCGCUGCUUUAUCACACUGAAACAACUCCCAUUGGUAGUUUUAUUUUAUUACUUCUAUCAUGAUUGGUUAAUCUGGCUGUCAUUCAGGAAACUGGACAAUUAAUCGGUUCGCGCUUUUCUACAUUUAAAAAUAUGACCGUUGUUGUCGUCUUUCUGUGAGUGACUGAGGCGGCUAACUGUGAGCUGCUGCUCGUUAUAACUGACUGCUCGGUCGGUCCCGAAUUUUUUCAUAUUUGCCUGUACAUUUUUUAUUUAUUUUGAGCGAAUUUGAGUCGUGACCUGUCAAUGGAGAACAAAAACUGUGAACACAAGAAAGGUCAGGUGUUCUGCGAGGUCCUGAAAACAUCCUGUCAAAAUGAGAUGAUCAAGUUAGAUGCUCACCUAAUGUGUUACUGAGUCAUCAAGGAUCCAGCUUGUUCUUGAAACAUUGAAGUUUGCCCUCUGCAAGUGAACGAUUCCUUGUGGUGCCAUCCCAAAGAAGUUCACAAUCACCCUCACGGAUCUUUUCCUGGACUGUGCCCAGCUGGUGGAAUCACCUCCCAAUCUCAAUCCGAGCUGCUGAGUCUUUACUCAUUUUCAAGAAACAUCUUAAGACUCAUCUUUUUCACCAGAACUUAACCAACUAAUGCUAGCACUUUUCCUUCUUUUCUUGUCUUUCAUAUUGAAAAAAAAAAAAAAAAAACCUGGCUAUGCGUUCUGAACUAGACUAACUGAGACUUGUCAUGGCACUUGUAUCCUGUUGUUGUUCGCUUGUACACCUGACUGCUUCUGUUCUUCUCAUUCGUAAGUCGCUUUGGAUAAAAGCGUCUGUUAAAUGAUUAAAUGUAAAUGUUUAUACAGGACGGUACAGAAAGUGCACAAGUGGGAGAGAGUGGAGGGGACGGUGUCAGAAAGGACCUAGCGCUGGGACACUUUCAAGGAUCACCCGAAGCACAACCACACUGUAUACACUAAGGCUGCUGGUUCUAACAUUUUAGAGUGCCCUGCGGUAGAAAUCUCAUUCUGCAUUCCCCACGGUAAAGAAGACACAGUCCGGGGGGGUUCCCAUUAGAAAUCAACUGGUGGAAGGUUCCCUUCUCGAACUGUUCAACACAUUUUCACUGCACAAAUGUACACAACUCUUGAAAUGAGACACAUUACUAAAACAUGUUUUUGACAGAAACUGUAGGUUUCCACCAAAAUAAAAGAUCCACUGGUUUCAGUCAUAAAGGUACAAGGGUUUGUCUUGUAAGUGCUGCAAAAAAAUAUGCAUUUAUGUGCCAAAUUAUUUCACAAAAACCUUUAAAUAUUAUUGUAUUUGGAUUGUUCUACUACAUGUUUUUAGCAUUACCUCCAUGCAUACUCUGCAUAAUAAAGUGUGGGAUUAUUUUCAUCUGUUUUAUACAGUAUGUUUCCAAAAUUAAACUGCUGUUUGACAAUUUUGA